rnacentral:rRNA from 1 species
UGAGGAAUAUUGGUCAAUGGGCGAGAGCCUGAACCAGCCAAGUCGCGUGAGGGAGGACGGCCCUACGGGUUGUAAACCUCUUUUGUCAGGGAGCAAGGACUAUCACGUGUGACAGUUCGGAGAGUACCUGAAGAAAAAGCAUCGGCUAACUCCGUGCCAGCAGCCGCGGUAAUACGGAGGAUGCGAGCGUUAUCCGGAUUCAUUGGGUUUAAAGGGUGCGUAGGCGGAAGGUCAAGUCAGCGGUUAAAUCGGGAGGCUCAACCUCCCCCCGCCGUUGAAACUGGUCUCCUUGAGUGGGCGAGAAGUACGCGGAAUGCGUGGUGUAGCGGUGAAAUGCAUAGAUAUCACGCAGAACUCCGAUUGCGAAGGCAGCGUACCGGCGCCCAACUGACGCUGAAGCACGAAAGCGUGGGUAUCGAACAGG